AUUGAACGCUGGCGGCAUGCUUUACACAUGCAAGUCGAACGGCAGCGGGGGCUUCGGCCUGCCGGCGAGUGGCGAACGGGUGAGUAAUGCAUCGGAACGUGCCCAUGUCGUGGGGGAUAACGUAGCGAAAGCUACGCUAAUACCGCAUACGCCCUGAGGGGGAAAGCGGGGGAUUCUUCGGAACCUCGCGCGAUUGGAGCGGCCGAUGUCGGAUUAGCUAGUAGGUGAGGUAAAGGCUCACCUAGGCGACGAUCCGUAGCGGGUCUGAGAGGAUGAUCCGCCACACUGGGACUGAGACACGGCCCAGACUCCUACGGGAGGCAGCAGUGGGGAAUUUUGGACAAUGGGCGCAAGCCUGAUCCAGCCAUGCCGCGUGAGUGAAGAAGGCC
rnacentral:rRNA from 1 species